GAUGAACGCUGGCGGCGUGUCUAAGGCAUGCAAGUUGAAUGCUACACUUCGGUGUAGCAUGGCAAACGGGAGAGUAACACAUUGGUAACCUACCUUGAGGACGAGUAUAACCCAGAGAAAUUUGGAAUAAUACUCGAUAAUAGUGGGGGGACAAAAGUCAUUCCCACUUAAAGCUCCGACGCCUCAAGAGGGACCUAUGUCCUAUCAGCUAGUUGGUAGUGUAAUGGACUACCAAGGCUACGACGGGUAGCGGGUGUGAGAGCAUGACCCGCCUCACUGGGACUGAGACACUGCCCAGACUCCUACGGGAGGCUGCAGUCAAGAAUAUUCCUCAAUGGCCGAAAGGCUGAAGGAGCGACGCCGCGUGAUUGAUGAAGCCCUUCGGGGUGUAAAAAUCUUUUCACUAGGAAGAAACCAUGACGGUACUAGUGGAAUAAGGGGCUGCUAACUUCG
rnacentral:rRNA from 1 species